rnacentral:misc_RNA from 1 species
AACACCUCAACUCCUUUAUUGUAGUUGGACUUGAGCUAUCCCAACAGGACUUUUUGUUCCUGGCGGGAGGCUUGAAAUGCAGGUGCAGCUGGACUUUCUUCUGAGCUAUAAGCAUAUUUAUUUAAUCCCUUAACACGGAUUAUUACUUUUUUGCUGCAGCUAACAUAAAGGUUGAAUUUCCAUUGAGCUGACUGAUGCAGGAAUUUGGCAAGGAAUUUUUUUAAUGACUUGUUAA